AUUGAACGCUGGCGGCAGGCCUAACACAUGCAAGUCGAACGAGUGGCGGACGGGUGAGUAAUGUAUGGGAAACUGCCUGAUGGAGGGGGAUAACUACUGGAAACUGUAGCUAAUACCGCAUACCAUCGGAUGUCCCCCGAUGGGAUUUGCUAGGAGGUGGGGUAACGGCUCACCUAGGCGACGAUCCCUAGCUGGUCUGAGAGGAUGACCAGCCGCACUGGAACUGAGACACGGACCAAACUCCUGCGGGAGGCAGCAGUGGGGAAUAUGGCACAAUGAGCGCAAGCCUGAUGCAGCCCAGCCGCGUGUAUGAGGAAGGCCUUCGGGUUGUAAAGUACUUUCGGCGAGGAGGCGUUACUCGCAGAAGAAGCGCCGGCUAACUCCGUGCCAGCAGCCGCGGUAAUAC
rnacentral:rRNA from 1 species